UACGUAGGGUGCAAGCGUUGUCCGGAAUUAUUGGGCGUAAAGAGCUCGUAGGCGGCUUGUCACGUCGACCGUGUGAAAACCCCGGGGCUCAACUCCGGGCCUGCAGUCGAUACGGGCUGGCUUGAGUGCGGUAGGGGAGACUGGAAUUCCUGGUGUAGCGGUGAAAUGCGCAGAUAUCAGGAGGAACACCGGUGGCGAAGGCGGGUCUCUGGGCCGUAACUGACGCUGAGGAGCGAAAGCGUGGGGAGCGAACAGG
rnacentral:rRNA from 1 species